rnacentral:rRNA from 1 species
AAUCUUCCACAAUGGACGAAAGUCUGAUGGAGCAACGCCGCGUGAGUGAAGAAGGUUUUCGGAUCGUAAAACUCUGUUGUAAGGGAAGAACAAGUACGGUAGUAACUGGCCGUACCUUGACGGUACCUUAUUAGAAAGCCACGGCUAACUACGUGCCAGCAGCUGCGGUAAUACGUAGGGGGCAAGCGUUGUCCGGAAUUAUUGGGCGUAAAGGGUGCGUAGGCGGCCUUUUAAGUCAGAUGUGAAAGCCCACGGCUCAACCGUGGGAUUGCAUUUGAAACUGGAGGGCUUGAGUAUCGGAGAGGGUAGUGGAAUUCCCAGUGUAGCGGUGAAAUGCGUAGAGAUAUGGAGGAACACCAGUGGCGAAGGCGACUCUCUGGUCUGUAACUGACGCUGAGGCGCGAAAGCGUGGGGAUCAAACA